GACGAACGCUGGCGGCGUGCUUAACACAUGCAAGUCGAACGGGAUUUAGUAGACAGAAGCUUCGGUGGAAGAUUACUAAUGAGAGUGGCGAACGGGUGAGUAACGCGUGAGCAACCUGCCUAUGACAGUGGGAUAGCCUCGGGACACCGGGAUUAAUACCGCAUAAAAUCGUAGAAACACAUGUUUCAACGGUCAAAGAUUUAUCGGUCGUAGAUGGGCUCGCGUCUGAUUAGCUAGUUGGUGAGAUAACAGCCCACCAAGGCGACGAUCAGUAGCCGGGCUGAGAGGAUGAACGGCCACAUUGGAACUGAGACACGGUCCAAACUCCUACGGGAGGCAGCAGUGGGGAAUAUUGCACAAUGGGGGAAACCCUGAUGCAGCGACGCCGCGUGAACGAAGAAGGUAUUCGUAUCGUAAAGUUCUGUCCUAUGGGAAGAUAAUGACAGUACCAUAGAAGAAAGCUCCGGCUAAAUACGUG
rnacentral:rRNA from 1 species